UACGUAGGGGGCAAGCGUUGUCCGGAUUUAUUGGGCGUAAAGAGCUCGUAGGCGGUUCGGUAAGUCGGGUGUGAAAACUUUGGGCUCAACCCAAAGCCUGCACCCGAUACUGCUGUGACUUGAGUCCGGUAGGGGAGUGGGGAAUUCCUGGUGUAGCGGUGGAAUGCGCAGAUAUCAGGAGGAACACCGGUGGCGAAGGCGCCACUCUGGGCCGGUACUGACGCUGAGGAGCGAAAGCGUGGGGAGCGAACAGG
rnacentral:rRNA from 1 species